GUGGCUGAGGGCAGAAUUUGACCUUGUGAGCUAUAAUUGUCCACAGAUACAAAGAAAGAGUUCUCUGUUUUCAGGAGCUCCUCAUUGUGCAGAGUUCAUUCUGUUUGUCCUCUUGCCUGUGCCAGGAGACUUUUCAUCACAUCAGUUGCUACAGAAAGGUCGUAGAAUCCAGAGGGCUUCCUCCACAGAUACCCACACCUUGCCCCUCGUUCCUAACCCAGUAGUAUGCCUGGAAGCAGGAGACACGAUCCUUUUCCAGCUCAGCAUCGAUUCCCACAACCGUGCAUCCAGCCAUUACCCUGUGUAUCAGAAGCAGCAUCUCUACAACAGCAACCCAAGCUGGGAUUUUGGAGCCUUCCGAAGGCUGGACCACCUCAUCCAGGAGACUCACCUCAACAUCUCGUGGUUUGCCCAUGUUUUCCUGGAGUCUGGGACAUAUGUUUUCAGGGAUAGGACCAUUCAGGAGCACUUCCUGAUCGUGACUGUGAAUGAAGCAAAUAUGGGUUGUGACCCCCGAGAUGUUUCCUUCCAGCCCUCUUCUCUGUUCCAGCUGGCCAGACAUGGAAUUCUGAAGCAGCAGAACCUGAAUUUGGCUCCUAACUGGGCCACUAUCACAGGUACAGCCAAAACACUGUGAGAGAGGGAAGGACCAGUUGUGCUUCUCCCCACUCCCUGCUUGAAGAAUUCAAGUGAGGGCUUUGUUUCCCUUGGCUUGAAGGCAGAAAGUGCCAGUGUUUUAGUGCUAAACUCAGCUGAAAUGAAAGGCAUCAUUUAAAAGAUCACUCGGGGCUAAAUACGAGGACAGUUGAGGUCUUUCCUCAAAGCUGUGCACAUACCAGUCCUGUGUCCAUCAGUGAGAGGACAGGAAAGCAAUAGAAAUGAAAGUGUGGCUUGCAUCCUCUGUGCUGUCCCUCUUGGCUUUCCCAGCAGUUCUCUUUGUCCUGGGCUCCCUAAUUGUGGUGCUGGCAACCCUGGCUGUAGUGUUCCAGCCUGCUGUGCCCAUCAUCAGCCCCCUGAAGGCCUGGAAGCCACGAUGGAGGAGCCUGGGCGAGCCACACAUCCCACCGGAGUACAUCCUCCUUAAAGACAGCCUUCAGUUCUAUCAGACAGUCGGUCCUCAUGCUUCUGGAGAAGAUGCUGACUUUGAAGAGAAGGGAGCUGUGCAUAAUGCAGGUAAAGUGCUGGGCCAGUUCACUGCCCAUCAUCCUGUUACCUGUUAGCUCUCUAGUAGGAUACUUUCAUACCUGCUCACCAAGGGCACAC
rnacentral:lncRNA from 1 species